AUCCGUAAUGUUCUACGGAUGAGUUCUGUAAUGAGAAGGAAAGCGGGGGUGAUGUUACGUUCAAACAUAUAACGAAGAAACUGACUAAAUAUGUAUGGUAAACUGGCUAUCAACACAAGGUAAUGCUUUACUAAGACCUGCUGCGUAGUUGGGACACAUGCAGGAUGAAUCUCAAACACCUGCAUUGCAAUAACACACCUGGAGAACAUGGCCUCUCUGGCAAAGUCAACCUCCUCUGGCUCCACUUCCACCAUCCUGCCAGUCAGGGUGAGGCGGGCACACCUGGGAUCCUCGGGGUCGUACACCAUCUCCCUACAAACAACGCACACUAGAUAAAAUCACCAGUCUGCACAGCACCACUACCAACUUGAAAACACUCUAACGUUAACGUCUACAUAGGAAACGGCGUAUCGAGAGAUUCAGAAGGCAAUCGAAACUGUUACGUUAGCAUCUCGGGGUCAUUAUUUAAACCAUGACAACUCGAGUCAUCUCUUGUAAAUAAAAAGACUUGAUACAA